UGCUACUUUGAGUCUCUUGUCCAUGCCCUUGCUCUUUCAGCGGAGCUGUUAGCUACUGGAAAAUUGCACUGACCCUUGCAGCUUACAUCUCUAUGGACAACUGAGUCUUGAAGAUUAAAUAGGAAUUACUUGGCUGAAGGGAGGAGAUAGCAUUUCAAAGGAUUGGAAGUAAGAGAAAAUGGUAUGUUUAUGGAACUACAACUAGAUCUGUGUUCCCUGACCAGGAAAUGUGAGGGGAGAGUGGCACAAGCAGGUAUUGGAAAGGUAGUUAGGGAUCUAGCAUGGCCAACAAAUUCCUAUGCAGUCUUCCCCUCCUCCAUCUCUCUGACCUCAUCACCUGCUGCAUUCCUGUGCCUCACAUCUGGGCCUCACACUUGCUAUUUCUUCUAUCUGAAACAACUUUUUUCCUGGAUAUCCUUAUGAUUCUCUCGUUUACCUGCUUCACAUGUCACCCUCUAUGAGGCCUGGCCUCACUAUCCUGUUUGAAAAGGCAACUCCCUUUCCUCCUUCAUCUUUUUCCCUUGGCACUUACCACCAUCUGACUUUCUUUCUCCCUCCAGCAGACUGUAAGCUGCCUGGGGUCUGUGAUUUUUGUCUUUUUUUGUUUUGGUUUUUGUUUUUUAUCUGUUUUAUUCACUGCUGACCCUAGUACCUGGCACAUGGUAGGCACUCAAAGAAUGGAAUAAGUAAGGGCUUUGGACUUUAUCUUGAAGGCUCUAGUGAAUAAGCAAAGGAUGUUGAAAGUCAGGGGCAUGAUCAUAUUCAUGAAUUUGUCCCCAGUUUUCACUUGGGGAUUAUUUUCUGGACAGAUGUUAACCAUGUCAGCACCUAGUUGUUGGACCCCAUUAAACUGUUGUCUCCAUUUAAUGCUGCCUAACUCCAUCCAGCAGGAUAUUGGAAGCAAUGGUGCUUGCUAUGAUUUGAAUGCUCAUCCCUCCAAAACUUAUGUUGAAACUUAAUCCCCAAUGUGACAAUAUUGAUAGCUGGGGCCUUUAAGAAGUGAUUGGAUCAUGAGGGCUGAAACUAUCAUGGGAGUGAAACUAUUAGCUUUAUAAGAAAAGGAAGAGGGGGGCUGUUCAUGGCGGUUCUGGGGUCUCCAACAUUUUUCCCGGUUGUGGUCCUAAAUCUGUCCAAAGUGGAGGCAGCAGAGCUCGAGAUUCUUGCUGGUGUGAAAUGUCUGAGUACAAACUGGUGGUGGUUGGAGCAGGUGGUGUUGGGAAAAGCGCACUGACAAUCCAGCUAAUCCAGAACCACUUUGUAGAUGAGUAUGAUCCCACCAUAGAGGAUUCUUACCGAAAACAGGUGGUUAUAGAUGGUGAAACCUGUCUGUUGGACAUACUGGAUACAGCUGGACAAGAGGAGUACAGUGCCAUGAGAGACCAAUACAUGAGGACAGGCAAAGGCUUCCUCUGUGUAUUUGCCAUCAAUAAUAGCAAGUCAUUUGCAGAUAUUAACCUCUACAGGGAGCAGAUUAAGCAAAUAAAAGAUUCAGAUGAUGUACCUAUGGUGCUGGUAGGAAACAAGUGUGAUUUGCCAACAAGGAGAGUUGACACAAAACAAGCCCAUGAGCUGGCCAAGAGUUACGGGAUUCCAUUUAUUGAAACCUCAGCCAAGACCAGACAGGGUGUCGAAGAUGCCUUUUACACAUUGGUAAGAGAAAUGCGCCAGUACCAAAUGAAAAAAACUCAACAGCAGUGAUGAUGGGACUCAAGGUUGUAUGGGGUUGCCAUGUGUGGUGAUGUAACAAGAUACUUUUAAAGUUCUGUCAUCAGAAAAGAGCCACUUUCAAGUAGCACUGACACCCUGGUCCUGAUUUCCCUGGAGGAGAAGUAUUUCUGUUGCUAUCUUCAGUCUUAUGAAGAAGCUCCUGCUACUUCUCCAACUCUCAGUAGAUCAGUACAAUAUUCUCUAGUUGAGAAGUUCUCAGAAUAACUACCUCCUCACAUGGUUGUCUGACCAGAGAAAUGCACCUCUUGUUACUCCCUGGUAUUUUUCUGCCCUUGGUUCUCCCCAGCACACACAAAUACACCUCCACCACCCCAGGUUUUUCAUCUGAAAGCAAUUUGUGCUCUGAAACAGAGAACCAAACUAUAGACAUGAAAUUCUGUUGAAAACAGUGUCUUGAGCUCUAAAGUAGCAACUGCUGGUGAUCUUUUUUCUUUUUACUGUUGAACUUAGAACUAUGUUAGUUUUUGGAAAAAUGUCAUAAAUUACUGUUUUGCCAAGAAUAUAGUUGAUGUUGCUGUUUGGUUUGUUUGUAAUGUUAUCAGCUAUAUUUUACAAAUUGGCAUCUGCUCUGUGUUCAUAAAUACAAAGGUGAAUACUGGCUUUUGAGUCCAUCCUAGUCUUCUCAACUUCAAUUAAAUCCAACUUUCACAAUGAAGUGCCUUUUUCCUAGAAGUGGUUUGUAGACUUCCUUUACAAUACUUCAGUGGAAUAGAUGUCUCAAAAAUUAUUAUGCAUGAAAAUGAAUGUCUGAGAUAUGCCUAUGACUCAUCUACCUUUGAAGGAAAGCUAUACCUGUAUGAUAGCAGAUGAUAACUUCGUAUGUGUAUGAAUUUGGUUUUCCAGAGAGAGGCCUGUUUUGGGGCUUUCCCAAGAGAAGGAUGAAACUAAAACAUGAAUAAUUUCACUUAAUUUUUACCUAAUAUCCACUUUUUUAUAGGUUACUACCUAUAAAAUGUAUGUAAUUUGUUUCCUCUAGCUUAAUGAUAAUCUAAUGAUCAAUGAACUUCCAUUCAUUUUCAAAUUUGAUUUAUAUCAGAAAGUUCUACAUUUGCAGGUGUUCUAAUAUUGUAAAAACUUGUUGUAGUAAUAUUUAAUAGCUAUGAUCCAUGAUUUUCAAACCUCAAAUAUAUUAACAGACAAAUUA